GACAUAUAGUCACCGCCUGGAAGAGAUCCGGCUACACUUUGGAAGUGAGGACAGCCAAGGGUCUGAGCACCUCCUCAACGGACAGGCCUUCUCUGGGGAGGUGCAACUCAUCCACUAUAACCACGAGCUAUACACAAAUGUCACAGAAGCUGCGAAGAGCCCGAACGGAUUGGUGGUAGUUUCUAUAUUUAUAAAAGUAAGUCUUGCAUUCCUUUACUCUUAUUGCACUCCCCAGCACCAACCAGGGCAUCCUUCUACAGUCUCCGUUGGAAUUUUGAAAAGUUAAAGAAGUAAUUUCAAUUCGCGUCUAUGCCUGAGAUAAUUUUGAGGUCUUAGGACUGUUAUAACCAUGAGAUUCAUAAAAG
rnacentral:lncRNA from 1 species